CCUCCUCUGCGCAAGGUGGGCAAAGAAGCGGGUCGCAGCCUCAUAGCACAAGUGACCAGAUUCUAACCCCCCUCCCAGCCCUGGAGCACAGCGGCCCCCGCUACUCUAUGGGAGAGUGUCCAGGGAAGUCUCCGGCUCCAGAGCCUGGCCUGUGGACAAACUGCUGGCUGCACCAUCCCCAAACGUUCCGGGACCCAACACUAGGUUUUUCGCUGACCCGCUACCAUAUGCCAAAGUGACACUCUGAAUGGAUAGCAUCUGAUGGACUGGACGCUGAGACUCAGGGGUCCAACUCAGGGGUCCUGCGAUCGGGCUGGCACACACACCGAAGGAGCUCAGCACACGUCUUGACGAGUGAAUACGUGAACUUGAGCCACUCUCAUCUCAUUCACUCAUCACUCAUCACCAACAGCUGGGUCUACCGCGUGUGGGGCGGCUGGGCUGGGCUAGGGAGGUCGAAGCCACCGCUAAGAGCUGAGCCGCCAGCUCCCAGCUGAAGCGCACACAGCAGGAGCAAGGUGCAAAACGGGGCCACUGAGGCCCAGAAGAAAGAAGGCCCUUGUUCAAAGCCACACCCUGGGGACUAGAACCCAGAUCAUCUGCGCCUACUCUCCUCUGUCUGCCCCCACGCCAUCCCUGGGCCUUGGAGCGGGGUCCCCGCACUCACGCAAGCCAUGACUGAGGACAGGAGGAUGUUCCUGCGGACUGCGGCACCAGCGGUCUCAGGACUCUAGGAGAGAGAUGGGCCCCCGGGGCCGCUCCCACCCUUUUAACUGGACCAGACUCCGCCCCUGCUUUCAGGUAGCACACUGCUGGGGCCGGACCUGGCCAUGAACCUGAGUAAGUAGCAUGUUGCUGGCUCUAAGGGGAGUCAUGAACAAGCACCGUGGUGCCGAGGAGACUGUCCAGAGUGUGAAGAAGGUGGGUUUUGAAGGACGGAUGAAGAAGGAGGGCCUGGCUUUCCAGCGUGAGCAAAGGCGCAGACCGGAACAGUGAACAUCUGGGCAUGGCUGGAGUUUGGGGUAUGUUGGGGAAAGAUGGGGCAUGGGGCCGGGAGGCCAACAGUACGUGGAUCAUGAAGGGCCUCUUUAAGGGGCUUGGCCAUUGUUUUAACUGAGGGUGCUGGGGAGCCAUAGAAGGUUAUAGGGAAGGUGAGUAUUGAGGACAGACACGAGUUACAGGGAAGAUCGCUGCAGCAAGAGUUGAGGGUGGAUUGGAGGGGUGCUCACCUCAUACCCAGGAGCCAGGAGGAGAGAGGGGGAUGGGAAGCACUAGGCAAGGUGGGGCACUUGCUCGGAGAGUUGUCCUUGGGACCUCCUUCUCCGCAUUGCCAUCUCCCUUCUGAAAUUGCCAGCACCGAAGAUGUGGACCAGGAGGGACUCACAUCUGGAGGCCAGGCCCUCCGCUGCCCCCCCCCUCCACCCCACCUUCCUCCGGAUGACUGAAGCCCACCCCUGGCACAGGAGGAGUGGGAAGGGGGGGCUCAUUGGUCCUCGACGCAGGCCGCCCCCUGUCUGAGCCCAUCACCCCUCGGAGACCAAGCCUCCGAAACCAACCACAGCUGUUUCAGUUUUUCCUCCAGGGCCUCUCCUAAACCUCAACGCAGGGAGGGGGUGGGCGGAGCGAGCCAGCUCCGAGGCCUUUCCUGUGUGCUUCCCCUCCAAGGGCCACGGACACCCUCCGCCUGAUCGAGCAAUAGGGGCAUUGGAGGAGUCCUGGACCGAGGAGCAGAGGUGGUUCCGGCACAGUCCUUUCCUGGCUGCGUCGCGUGGGUCUGGCUGGCUGUCCCAGUCCAGCAGGUGGGCUCCCAGGGCAUCAAGAGCUGCUUCCCCCGACUUGGAAGACAGGCCCAGCACCACGAAGCGUUUGCUGUUGGACGAGGGGCUGCUUUAUUCUCCAGGGUCUGGCCAGCUGAGGGCUGGUAGAGAAUCAGCAUGGCGUGGGGAACAGGCCUCCAGAAAGGCCCCUCUGGGAGUCUGGGGAGUUGGAAUCCGGUCCCAGCCCUGCCACGCCGUCCCCCAGGGCAUCCUGGCAAAUCAGUCUGCCCAUCUGUAAACUGGGGAGGUGAAACCCUGCUCUCCUACACAAGGUUGCUACGGGGGGGAAUUCAUGUCUGUGGCACUAAAUAGGUGAUUCCCCCCCCCGACCCCUCCCCCCCGCAAUCUCAGAAGGUUUUAGCUUCCCUCUUGUCUCUUUCUAGGCUGAGCUUACCUUUCUGGGGUCAACACCUCUGGGAAGUCUCCCUCUUACCCCCACCUGACCCCCAACAGUCCCUGCCUGCCUAUGCUGGAGCAGGGAGUCUCUCCAGAUUCCAGUGUCCCCUGUAACACGGGUCAUGGUUUUCCCGGGUGGGGGCAGGGACCAGGUGCACUGUGUGUGCCGAGCUCCCGCCCAGUCCUCGGGGCCUCCUAGCGAUGGCACCCACUUAUCUGCCCGGCCCUGUGCCCGGCGCCUUGCUUUCAUACAUUAUCUCAUUUCAUCUACACCUCCCCCCUGCCUGAUGCUUGCCAGCUGGGAUGUACCGCACAGGGAAGCCGCUCCGGGCCCUGAAAUGAAUGAAGCUGGCGACAGAAUCGGGAGAAGGGAGGCGAGUCCUAAUUUGGGGGCUGCCUGGCUGUGACUGCGGCCAAGGACCUUACCCUCGCGGAACCUGUUUCCAGGCCUGGAAAGUGGGAACGUUAGCAUUCACUGACUGGCUGCAGGAUUACAGAGGUGAUGUGUGUCGGGGGGGCUCCACAUUAGUUCUCUCUUCUGCACCCUCAAGGCCAAGGCUCCCCACCGGGGGGGGGGGGCUCUCCUUCUCCCUCACUGCUCUGCAGCAGAGGCAGUGAACUCUCUGGAAUAUUCCCCCAUUCUAACAGGCAGCUCUACAGGCUGGACCUUGGCCGCUGCUGUUAGAAAUGAGCUCAGCACCUCUGGACAGGGGACCCAGGCCAGCGCGGCCCUUCCCAGACUGCCGACUCCUGCCCUGUCCUGCCCGCUCCUGCCCUGCCCGUGUGAAGGCAGUCCCUCCUCUAGCCGGCAGUGGCAGGGAGGGCUGCCAGACGCAUUGAAACACCAUCCACACCCCUCAGCCAACCUGACUGGCCCAGCCUGGGGAUGGUGGAGGUGACCAGAGCA